CGGCCUACUGGGCACCAACUGACGCUGAGGCUCGAAAGUGUGGGUAGCAAACAGGAUUAGAUACCCUGGUAGUCCACACCGUAAACGAUGAUUACUAGGUGUUGGAGGAUUGACCCCUUCAGUGCCGCAGUUAACACAAUAAGUAAUCCACCUGGGGAGUACGACCGCAAGGUUGAAACUCAAAGGAAUUGACGGGGGCCCGCACAAGCAGUGGAGUAUGUGGUUUAAUUCGACGCAACGCGAAGAACCUUACCAAGUCUUGACAUCCUGCGACGCACAUAGAAAUAUGUGUUUCCUUCGGGACGCAGAGACAGGCGGUGCAUGGUUGUCGUCAGCUCGUGUCGUGAGAUGUUGGGUUAAGUCCCGCAGCGAGCGCAACCCUUACUGUCAGUUACUACGCAAGAGGACUCUGGCAGGACUGCCGUUGACAAAACGGAGGAAGGUGGGGAUGACGUCAAAUCAUCAUGCCCUUUAUGACUUGGGCUACACACGUACUACAAUGGCGUUAAACAAAGAGAAGCAAGACCGCGAGGUGGAGCAAAACUCAGAAACAACGUCCCAGUUCGGACUGCAGGCUGCAACUCGCCUGCACGAAGUCGGAAUUGCUAGUAAUCGUGGAUCAGCAUGCCACGGUGAAUAAAUUCCCGGGCCUUGCACACACCGCCCGUC
rnacentral:rRNA from 1 species